rnacentral:rRNA from 1 species
GAUGAACGCUGGCGGCGUGCCUAAUACAUGCAAGUCGAGCGAACGGACGAGAAGCUUGCUUCUCUGAUGUUAGCGGCGGACGGGUGAGUAACACGUGGAUAACCUACCUAUAAGACUGGGAUAACUUCGGGAAACCGGAGCUAAUACCGGAUAAUAUUUUGAACCGCAUGGUUCAAAAGUGUAAGACGGUCUUGCUGUCACUUAUAGAUGGAUCCGCGCUGCAUUAGCUAGUUGGUAAGGUAACGGCUUACCAAGGCAACGAUGCAUAGCCGACCUGAGAGGAUGAUCGGCCACACGGGAGCUGGGACACGGACCAAACUCCGACGGGAGGCAGCAGUAGGAAAUCUUCCGGAAUGAGCGAUAGCGUGACGUAGCAACUCCGCGUGAGUGAUGAAGGUCUUCGGAUCGUAAAUCUCUGUUAUUUGGGAAGAACAUAAGUGUAAGUAACUGUACACAUCUUGACGGUACCUAAUCAGAAGGCCACGGCUAACUACGG